AGGCACUGUCUGCCUCAGAGCACACAGCCUGCUUUUUCAGCCGAGGAGGCGGAAUCGGGGUGGGCUUGUUCUGCAGCAAAUCCAAGCCUCUCUCCUUAUGGUCGACUGUUUCUGACUUCCACUGACAUCCUGGCUGUGCACUUUUAAGAAGAGAGGAUUAAUGAAACACAGCGCUCCGUUGGUCUGGCUGCACUCCAGCUCUGAAGGCGUUCUGGAGUGCUACAGGGAAGGACAUCUAUGCAGAGAACUACUUACUCAGUCCAAGGAUAGAAGAUGACUCUACUGAAGUGAAUAACCGCUGUGGAAAAGAUAGCAGCAUGAAGGCUGUGCAGUGCCAGACACAAGGCAGGGAGCAAAGCUCUGCCCCUCUUUCCUCUAUGGGAACAGAGAAGGAAGGGAAUAAGCUGCUGC